GGCUGAUCCAAGUGCAGUGGUAUUUACAACUAAUUGAUCUCAGCCAGUUUGUAGAUUUCUUUGUUCCUUCUCCAUUCCCACUUCUUCACUUGACUAGUCUUGG
ensembl:misc_RNA Y_RNA Y RNA